GGGUCAGUAGGUCGGUCGUGCCACCGGUACGUACUGGUCUCACUGAUUCCUCCUUCCUGAAGAACCGUAAUGCCAUUAAUUUGGUGUUGCGGGGAAACAGGACUGUUACUUUGAAAAAAUUAGAGUGUUUAAAGCAAGCUAACGCUUGAAUACAUUAGCAUGGAAUAACGAAAUAGGACGAUCGAUCCUAUUUUGUUGGUUUCUAGGAUUGACGUA
rnacentral:rRNA from 1 species